CUCAGCAUUCCUGACGGGCUCAGCCUCGGGAGUGCCUUGUGGCCAGUGUGGGCUGUCCUGGCAGCAUGCACAGCAGCAGGUUGUCAGGGCAGCUUUGCCACUGGGACCCAAACCAUUCCAGCUGGCUUUGAGAGACCACAAAUCCAUGCUGCAUCCCAGCAAAGGGAGGCUUCAGACAGCUGAAAACUUCUCCUGGUCAUUAACACACCACCCUCCAUGGCUGCUCCUGGCUCCUCCACUCAGAUUCACAAAAAGAUAGCCAAAGGCAUACCCAUGGCUUCACAAAAUGUGCAUGGAAACCAUACACUGGAGCUGGGUCACUAGUUUAUCAACCAGGCUCUGACUAC
rnacentral:lncRNA from 12 species